CAGCCGCCGCGGUAAUACGAAGGGUGCAAGCGUUAAUCGGAAUUACUGGGCGUAAAGCGUGCGUAGGCGGCUUCUUAAGUCGGAUGUGAAAUCCCUGAGCUUAACUUAGGAAUUGCAUUCGAUACUGGGAAGCUAGAGUAUGGGAGAGGAUGGUAGAAUUCCAGGUGUAGCGGUGAAAUGCGUAGAGAUCUGGAGGAAUACCGAUGGCGAAGGCAGCCAUCUGGCCUAAUACUGACGCUGAGGUACGAAAGCAUGGGGAGCAAACAGGAUUAGAUACCCCAGUAGUCCCUGUCUCUUAUAC
rnacentral:rRNA from 1 species